UACGUAGGUGGCAAGCGUUGUCCGGAACUAUUGGGCGUAAAGCGCGCGCAGGCGGUCCUUUAAGUCUGAUGUGAAAGCCCACGGCUCAACCGUGGAGGGUCAUUGGAAACUGGGGGACUUGAGUACAGAAGAGGAAAGCGGAAUUCCACGUGUAGCGGUGAAAUGCGUAGAGAUGUGGAGGAACACCAGUGGCGAAGGCGGCUUUCUGGUCUGUAACUGACGCUGAGGCGCGAAAGCGUGGGGAGCAAACAGG
rnacentral:rRNA from 1 species